CCUCGAACUCAUAGAGAUCUGCCUGCUUCUGCCUCCCAAGUGCUGGGAUUGAAGGCGUGUGCCACUGUGCGCCACCACCACCACUGCCCAGCACGUGAGUUCUCUCUCUUAAUAACCCGUCCUUGUUUCUGCUCUGCACAGUCCGUGUUCCAGGACUCCGAUCUGGAGGUGUCAUCCAAACCCCCUGUCAGGUGACUAACUGUGUGUUCCAACAGAAACAGGGGAGCUGGGGGACGAAACCCUUAGUGGAAAUCCAAACAAGCUAACCCGCAAACUUCUUGUCAGAUUCAGCCUCCCAGGGCUGGAGAGAAGGCUCAGUAGCACAGAGUUUGUCUGAUGUGGGGCAGGCCUUUGGUGGGGGAUGGGGAGAGGGAGAGAAGGAGAGAGAGAGACAGACAGACAGACAGACACACAGACACACAGACAGACACACAGAGAGACACAGAGACAAAGAAAGAGAUAGCACCAGCCAGCCAGCCAGCCAGCCAGCCGGGCUUGCCUCUCCCCGCUCCAUGCCUUCUGUCUCGUGGAGUCUAAUCCCUCCCUCACUCUCAUCACCGUGCUCCACUGGAACGUUUCUUUCAGAUCAGCCAGAACAUUUUGUUCAGGUGCCAACGUUUUUUUCCUUUUGAUGUUUCCUCUAACCAGAGGCCUCUUCCUCCUUGCUGAUGAGGUGCCGAGUGUGGCUUCCCAGUCCUUCUGACUCCACAGGAAAAGGAACCGAACGGUAGGAAAGAGGAGCGGUGAAGCUGGGGUCCCCUGGAGCUACAGCCGUCCUCCCCCUGAAUCAGAAGAUGCACAGGAGGGGUGAGAGGACACCUCUCCCCGACAAGGCGGGAGGCACCCUGUUCCCGCUCCUUCUUGGCUUUUCUUUACCCUCAAGCUUGUGAAAUCCUGAGGAAGCUGUGACUUUGUUACUCUACCAUCUCAUUACAUUUUCUGUUCUGAAUAAAUUGGUCUGUGUGAAUGACCUCAGAACUGCCUAGAAGCAGAGAUGUGCAGUCUGGCUUGCCACCUGCUUAGACCAGCGGCGUCAUUCCAGUGGCCUGCCAUGUCCUUUGCCUUCCAGACGACUCCUAGCCAUGCUUCAAGGUCCAGAUUCCAAGUGAUGACACUUCUCCAGCCCCUUGGACCAUGCGGAGUCCUGCAUCAUCUACCUGCUUCUCUAUGUCUAGGCCAGCAGUGUGGCCUGGCUUCUUGGCAAAUCCCUGCUUUGCUUGACUCUGGGUGACCUGGGCACAGCAGAGUGAAGCAUCUCAGAACCUACUCACGUGAAGAAAACAACCCACUCAGAUCCUGCAGAAAUCCAGACUGCGCCUGAACCCUUCCCACAGAGGUCCUCACUCACGUAGGGCUACCUCAGGCAGUGUGCAGAGUGGGGGAAGUCCUGAGUGAACGUGUGCUGUUGACCUGAGCACAGCCACGUCAGGGAUGCCAGUGCCUCAGACCCAUGGGAGUGGUGAAGCCUUCCCCUGGGCUGAGUGGAAACGUUGACUUUGGGGACAGAAACUAUCAAUCUCAGCUUCCUCCUCCCUAAUGUUUACAGCUUGAGGCUGCUCCCCAACAGAAAACCCCUACUGAGAUUAGUUUAAAGCUGCCUCCUUGUUCAGAGGAAUGCCAUAAACCUCCUUGUGGUGAUAUAUUGUGUGCCCUAAUAAACUUGCCUGAGGAUCAGAGGACAGAGCCAGCCACUAGAUUAGACACAGAGGCCAGACAGUGGUGGCACACACCCU